UACGUAGGGGGCAAGCGUUGUCCGGAAUCAUUGGGCGUAAAGAGCGCGUAGGCGGCCAACUAAGUCAUACGUGAAAUCCCUCAGCUUAACUGGGGAACUGCGUGUGAUACUGGAUGGCUUGGAUUUGGGAGAGGGAUGCGGAAUUCCAGGUGUAGCGGUGAAAUGCGUAGAUAUCUGGAGGAACACCGGUGGCGAAGGCGGCAUCCUGGACCAAUAUUGACGCUGAGGAGCGAAAGCCAGGGGAGCAAACGGG
rnacentral:rRNA from 1 species